rnacentral:rRNA from 1 species
UUGACCUCAAAUCAGGUAGGACUACCCGCUGAACUUAAGCAUAUCAAUAAGCGGAGGAAAAGAAACUAACAAGGAUUCCCCUAGUAACUGCGAGUGAAGCGGGAAAAGCUCAAAUUUGAAAUCUGGCGGUUCUUGAACUGUCCGAGUUGUAAUCUAGAGAAGUGUUACCUGUGCUGGACCGUGUACAAGUCUCCUGGAAUGGAGCAUCACAGAGGGUGAGAAUCCYGUCUUUGACACGGACUGCCUGUACGAUAUGGUGCGCUCUCGAAGAGUCGAGUUGUUUGGGAAUGCAGCUCAAAAUGGGUGGUAAAUGCCAUCUAAAGCUAAAUAUUGGCGAGAGACCGAUAGCGAACAAGUACCGUGAGGGAAAGAUGAAAAGAACUUUGGAAAGAGAGUUAAACAGUACGUGAAAUUGCUGAAAGGGAAACGCUUGAAGUCAGUCGCGUCGGCUAGAAAUCAGCCUUUGCUUUUGCUUGGUGUACUUUCUGGUUGAUGGGUCAGCAUCAAUUUUGACCAUCGGAUAAAGUCAUUGGGAAUGUGGCAUCUUAGGAUGUGUUAUAGCCCAUUGUCGCAUACGGUGGUUGGGAUUGAGGAACUCAGCAUGAGCGAGAUGACGCUCGUGCUUAGGAUGCUGGCAUAAUGGCUUUAAUCGACCCGUC